CCUACGGGAGGCAGCAGUGGGGAAUAUUGCACAAUGGGCGAAACCCUGAUGCAGCGACGCCGCGUGAGUGAAGAAGUAUCUCGGUACGUAAAGCUCUAUCAGCAGGGAAGAAAAUGACGGUACCUGACUCAGAAGCCCCGGCUAACUACGUGCCAGCAGCCGCGGUAAUACGGAGGGGGCCAGCGUUAUCCGGAUUUACUGGGUGUAAAGGGAGCGUAGACGGGAGCACAAGUCUGGAGUGAAAUCCCGGGGCUUAACCCCGGAACUGCUUUGGAAACUGUGCGGCUGGAGUGCAGGAGGGGUAAGCGGAAUGCGUGGUGUAGCGGUGAAAUGCGUAGAUAUUAGGAGGAACACCGGUGGCGAAGGCGGCUUACUGGACUGUAACUGACGUUGAGGCUCGAAAGCGUGGGGAGCAAACAGGAUUAGAUACCCGAGUAGUC
rnacentral:rRNA from 1 species